rnacentral:rRNA from 1 species
UGCCAGCAGCCGCGGUAAUACGGAGGGUGCGAGCGUUGUUCGGAAUCACUGGGCGUAAAGCGCGUGUAGGCGGUUCGGUAAGUCUGAUGUGAAAGCCCGAGGCUCAACCUCGGAAGUGCAUUGGAUACUGCCGAGCUAGAGUCCCGGAGAGGAGGGUGGAAUUCCUGGUGUAGCGGUGAAAUGCGUAGAUAUCAGGAGGAACACCGGCGGCGAAGGCGGCCCUCUGGACGGUGACUGACGCUGAGACGCGAAAGCGUGGGGAGCAAACAGGAUUAGAUA